ACCCACAUGUAAAAUUAUUUGUACAUGUACAUAUACACUCCCCCCCCCCCCAAUACAGAGAAACUUAUUUUACAUGACAAUAGUUCAAUCAGUCAUUCUAUCGUAUUAGAAUAUAAAAAUUAAUUAAAGGAUAAAUUUUUAUAAUAUUUAGUUAUUACAAUUAAAACAAUAAGACAUAAGUAUAAUGUACGAUUAAUGAAUAACUAAUACUAAUAAAUUAAUUCAAAUUUUUAAUUCAAAACUUACAAGAAAAAAAUUGUCAAGUGCUGUUUGUAGACCGUUUAAUUACUUCAAACUUUAGAGUAACACAAUUUAAGAAUUGUAAACGUUUUGAUGUAUUUCUUAGUCAUUUUUAAUAUACAGUUUAAUAUACAAUAUAUAUAUAUAAUUUUAAAAUUAGGACAAACUUUAUUAAACUUUCAAGUGUUUGCAAAAACGAUAAGAAUAUGCAAUGUUACUUUAAGACCAUACGGUAUAAGUGUUAUUGACAUUUUGACAAAAAUAUGAUGAAGAAAUAGGCGAAAAUGCUUUAUAUGAGUUUUGUUGUAUCUUUGCUAUUCAGAUUGGCUUAGUGGACCUCUUGAUAUUUUUAGAAAUCAUUCCGGAUUAUAUGAUUAUUGAUUAGUCAUUCUGCUGGUGAACUCGGUUGCGUCUACGCUGAUAAAUCAUUGAACGAACCAUUUUGUCAGUAUACUUUAUAGGUUUGGCCUGUGUCGAAGGAAAAGUAAUUUGUAGCUCGAGGGCACUGUUGAUCUUAAUUACGGAAGCCUAAAAAAUAUGUGUUCAACGGAUAUUGAAAUAAUAUGUCGCAAUAAUGGGAAUAGCAGCGUUGUCUGUAGUCCCACAGAAUCCACACAGAAAUUUAUGAAAAAAUUGCAGAACAUACGUUUCGGCUAUGGGUUUUAGUCAUCUUCAGUGUACAUAAAAAAUUAACAAAUGCGAUUGGUCAAUUCCAAUGAAAUAACCGACCGGUUAAGGUAACCGGAGUUGGUGAAAUCGGCCCUCAAUAGUUAUGACAUAUUAUAACCAAACGUCCAAUGUGUUAGUUUGCCGAAAAAUCGCUAUGGAACAAAGAGCGAAUAUCAAGUUUUGUUUUAAGUUGGGCAAAACUGCUUAAGAAACAUUCGAUGAAAAACGUUUACGGUGACCAGUGUCUAUCCCGUGCACAAGUAUUUCGCUGGUUUGCUAGAUUUCGUGAUGGUCGUGAAGACCUUGAAGAUGAUGAACGCUCACCGAAGCCGAGAACCUCGAGGAAUAAAAAAAACGUUGAGAAAGUCAGCCAAAUUCUGCGCUCUGACAGUUGUGUGUCCGCGAGACUUAUUAAGGAGAUGACUGGCAUUCCUAAGAGUGUGAUUCAUCGCAUUCUGAUCAAGGAUUUGGGAAAGAGAAAGAUCUGCGCACGAUUUGUUCCACAUCGUCACACAAAUGUGUAAUUGUACCCGAGUUUUUGGCCAAAAAACGCAUCAUAAAGGUCGACCACCGCGACCGUGCGACUUCUGGCUAUUUCCUAAACUCAAAUUAGCGAUGAAGAAGAACACCUACCCCAAUUAUUCCUAAAUUAUA
rnacentral:misc_RNA from 1 species